UACGGAGGAUGCGAGCGUUAUCCGGAUUUACUGGGUUUAAAGGGUGCGUAGGCGGGAUGCCAAGUCAGCGGUAAAAAUGCGGUGCUCAACGCCGUCGAGCCGUUGAAACUGGCGUUCUUGAGUGGGCGAGAAGUAUGCGGAAUGCGUGGUGUAGCGGUGAAAUGCAUAGAUAUCACGCAGAACUCUGAUUGCGAAGGCAGCAUACCGGCGCCCUACUGACGCUGAGGCACGAAAGCGUGGGUAUCGAACAGG
rnacentral:rRNA from 1 species